rnacentral:rRNA from 1 species
CCUACGGGUGACAGCAGUGGGGAAUAUUGGGCAAUGAAGGCAACUCUGACCCAGCAACGCCGCGUGAAUGAUGAAGGUCUUCGGAUUGUAAAGUUCUUUGAUCGGGGAUGAACACAAUGACGUUACCCCAAUAGCAAGUCACGGCUAACUACGUGCCAGCAGCCGCGGUAAUCCGUAGGUGGCAAGCGUUAUCCGGAAUGACUGGGCGUAAAGGGUGCGUAGGUGGUUUAGUAAGUUGGCGGUGAAAUUCCGGGGCUCAACCUCGGAGCUACAGCCAAAACUAAUAGGCUAGAGGGCAGGAGGGGUAAGUAGAAUUCCUAGUGUAGCGGUGGAAUGCGUAGAGAUUAGGAGGAACAUCAGGGGCGAAGGCGACUUACUGGACGGUAACUGACACUGAGGCACGAAAGCGUGGGGAGCAAACAGGAUUAGAUACCCGUGUAGUC